rnacentral:rRNA from 1 species
CAGUCGCCACGGGAAUACGAAGGGUGCAAGCGUUAAUCGGAAUUACUGGGCGUAAAGCGCGCGUAGGUGGUUUGGUAAGAUGGAUGUGAAAUCCCUGGGCUCAACCUGGGAACUGCAUCCAUAACUGCCUGACUAGAGUACGGUAGAGGGUGGUGGAAUUUCCUGUGUAGCAGUGAAAUGCGUAGAGAUCGGAAGGAACAUCUGUGGCGAAGGCGACUAUCUGGGCCAACACUGACACUGAGGCACGAAAGCGUGGGGAGCAAACAGGAUUAGAGACCCCUGUAGUCCCUGUCUCUUAUAC